rfam:Picea glauca, whole genome shotgun sequence.
ACAUGCCUACAACAUAGCGUUAAUACACCGGAUCCCAUUAGAACUCUGCAGUUAAGCGCAUUCAGGCUAGAGUAGUACUGGGAUGGGUGAUUGCCCGAGAAUUCCUAAUGUUUUACAUGCC